ensembl:lncRNA
AGUAGAUUAUGUUUAUAGAUUUCCAUGUAUUGUACAAUCUCUGCAUCCCUGGGAUGAAGCCUACUUGAUCAUGGUGGAUGAUUGCUUUGAUAUGUUCUUGGAGUCACAAGAACUUCAUUGAGUAAUUUUUCAUCAACAUUCAUAAGGGAAGUUGGUCUGAAGCUCUCUUUCGUUUUUGGGUCUCUGUGUGGUUUAGCUAUAGGUGAACUGUGACGUCAUAGAAGGAAUUGGGUAGUGUUCUUUCAGUCUCUAUUUUGUGGAACAGUUUGGAGAGUACUGGUAUUAGGUCUUCCACGAAGUGUUCACACACUGAGAGGCACUUAAGAUUCACCUAAGAACUACUCAAGUGUGCACACUUGGACUCCACCACAAAGAAAAGUAAAUCAAAGCAGACAUGGCCUCAGGAGUUUGGAGACUGACUCAUCCCUGCUUGCCCAGUCCUCAACAAGAAGAUGCAAGACUUCAUUAAGCUGUGUCCAGGGAGGUGAGAGGUGACUUACACAAAAAAGCCACUCAAUACAGAAAAUCUGGUGAGUACAGGUGUGAUAUCCUAGUCAACAAAACGUUAGAACCAACAAUGGGCCAUGUGACUCCAAAAGAAGGACAACCAAUUUGAGACAAGGUCUGCAGAAUUUUUAGCUAAAAGUAGAAAUUAUUUGCAUGCUCUCCAGCAAACUCCCCACGGGCCAUGUCAGGUACUACCUAACAUAACCACGUGGCAUUAGCCAUAGUCAUCAUGCAAUAGCAGGAGCCCCACUGCCUAUAUCUCAGUCCAGCAUAAGGACGGUGUGUUGCCCUCAGUAAGAGCAAGUGUAAGAGGGCUGGCCCUGACACUUGUUGCCCACUCGGUGGUAUGGACAAGAAAGGGACACCCUCCUCUGCCCUAGUACCUCACUACCUGCAGGCAUCAUGAGACCUGGCCCUGAUGUUACCAGAGGAGUGCCCCUGCAUGUCACUUGCUGCAGC